AACAGUAAUUGUUUUUUUUUAAUAAAACCUACAUAUAACUAAAUAAACCAAAUGAUUCAAUAGUGAAAUUAAUAAAUAACACAAAUGUAUUGAUAAAUUAGUUUAACAAAUGGCACACUAAACUACCCCCGACAAAUUACAGAACCGUUACCAAUAUAGGAAUAUCCUUUUUAAUACCAAAAAUAAUUUACAUCCCCCCUCCACCACAUUACAAAAACCAUUCUCAUAAUUAACUCAAUAAAAUUUUACGAUAAUUACACUAGCAUGCCAAAAAUAAAAUGUCUUAUUUAACAUAUAUUUUACAUGACUAUAUAAAUCAAAAUUUCCAUCACAAAAAAAAAACAACAAUCUCUUACACAAAAUAAGUUAAAAAAUGAAUGCAUAUAAACCAUUAUCAAGUUUUGAACAACUUCUUCGAGAUAUCCAAUGAGAUAUCAUAUCUAGAAUUAUGCAGUCAUAAAAAACCAUCACCAACAUGUCAUGCAAUCAUUAUACAUUGGCUAAAACUGCUUAAAACAGUUGUAUUGACAUGAUUCAACACCAAAACUAUUAAACAUUUA
rnacentral:lncRNA from 1 species